rnacentral:rRNA from 1 species
CCUACGGGAGGCAGCAGUGGGGAAUAUUGGACAAUGGGCGCAAGCCUGAUCCAGCCAUGCCGCGUGUGUGAAGAAGGCCUUCGGGUUGUAAAGCACUUUUGUUCGGGAAGAAAAGCUACCGGUUAAUACCCGGGAGUCAUGACGGUACCGAAAGAAUAAGCACCGGCUAACUUCGUGCCAGCAGCCGCGGUAAUACGAAGGGUGCAAGCGUUACUCGGAAUUACUGGGCGUAAAGCGUGCGUAGGUGGUGAGUUAAGUCUGUCGUGAAAGCCCCGGGCUCAACCUGGGAAUGGCGAUGGAUACUGGCUCGCUAGAGUGCGGUAGAGGAGAGUGGAAUUCCCGGUGUAGCAGUGAAAUGCGUAGAGAUCGGGAGGAACAUCAGUUGCGAAGGCGGCUCUCUGGACCAACACUGACACUGAGGCACGAAAGCGUGGGGAGCAAACAGGAUUAGAUACCCUGGUAGUCCACGCCCUAAACGAUGCGAACUGGACGUUGGGAGCAAUUAGGCUCUCAGUGUCGAAGCUAACGCGUUAAGUUCGCCGCCUGGGGAGUACGGUCGCAAGACUGAAACUCAAAGGAAUUGACGG